GCUGGACACAGUGGCAUGUGCCUGUAGUCCUAGCUACUUGGGAGGCUGAGACAGGAGAAUCACUUGAGCCCAGGAGUUCUGGGCUGUAGUGCGCUAUGCUGAUCAGGUGUCUGCACUAAGUUGGGCAUCAAUAUGGUGACCUCCUGGGAGCGGGGGACCACCAGGUUGCCUAAGGAGGGGUGAACCAGCCCUAGUUGGAAACCGAGCAGGUCAAAACCCCCCUGCUGAUCAGUAGUGGGAUCGCGCCUGUGAAUAGCCACUGCACUCCAGCCUGGGCAAGAUUGCGAGACCCCGUCUCU
rnacentral:SRP_RNA from 1 species